UACCUUCGAUCGUAGAACGACGAUAACAACUAUUGCUAUUUUUUCGCUUUCUGGUGUCCGUCUCCUCUAUUGCACCUCGUCGUUGGAUCGGGACUCCACGGGCGGGUAGUGAUGGCACAACCGGUGGGCUGGCCGAUGGUGGCAGAUGCCGCGGCGAGACGGGCGGAAUGCGCAGUGGCAGCAGCAGCCGGGGUUCGGGCAGACGGUGGCGGGGAUCUUGCUGAUGGCGCUGCUCUCGUACUUCGCCAUGAAGUUCUUUGGCCCCAAGAGGCCCGCGGAGCUGUUCCAGCUCAUCUCCAAUCUCUUCCACAAGGGCGACUCGUUGGACAUGUGGGUUUAUCUCUCUGAGAACGAGAAGCUUAAGGAUUUUGGUGUUGAAGAAUGAUAAUCAUGUUGAAGCCAAGGAUGAGGGCCCUGUAGAUUGGGUUUCAUAUUGGAAACCAAAUAUCACAAUAAACUUUGUUGAUAAUUUUACAAGGUAACAUUCCCUCCAAAGAAAAAGAAAAAAAAGGAGUUGACCGACAAGACUUUGCUUCUGGAUACUUGUUAACAAUACGUACAAGUAUGACAGCUGUAGACUCUUUAUUUUAAAUUAAGCCAUAAAAGAUUGUGACAGUUUCCUUUUUUUGCAUGCUAAAGUUGUCUGGCUGCUGUCUGAUUCUUGAUGCCCCUGAUCUGUAUAUAUAUUUUGGAAGUCCUUUUUGUAUUAUAAAUCAAAGAUCAAGUUUAUUUGCUGCCAUUAUUUGACCUUUGACCUUUAUUUGUCUUGAUGCUGUCUUUAACAUCCCUUAAUUAUCAUACUUUUAUACCAAAAAUUUGUGGUGUUGUAGGAUGCAUCUGGUCUGGGAACUAGAAAAGAUUUCAUAUUUCCCAUUUCUUUUAAGUGUUACAAGCCCUUUUGUCAGAUUCUGUAGAAAAUUGGAACGAGCCUAAAACCUUUCUUGCUUGAGGAUGGCUCAUAUAGAUAUUGGUUGAUGUGUGAGUUAAGUCAAGAUAGACUGUGGUGUUUGUUGGAACUACUAGCUAUAUGUGAGAAUGAUUGCUGGAAAAUGAUGAUUUCUUGUAGAACGACAAGAAUCAAUGAAUCAAGAGGUGAUACUUGGGGGAGUGGGGUGGAUCUCAGGUAAAAGGUGGUCCACCUUUACCUUUCUUCUUUCAAGGUGAGACACCAAACCUAGCAACAUAGGCCACAAGCCUCGCAAGGCUGUCCUAUACCACAAUUAGGCUACAAGAGACAUUCAAGUCAAUUUAAACCCACAAACCUACCAAAGUGAAUCAUCCAUCAUGAGUUGAGAAAAUGCAUACUUUUCAUAGGAUGGGAUUUAACUCCAAACUUUCCACUAGGGAGAGAGAUGCUAAUCAUUGAAGGCAAUGGAUGUGGCAUACCUGCUACCUUCUUAUAAGACUGGAUAUGGGUAGUGUAGUAAGAAUGAAUUUCUAAUGAGGUCUUGAUGUGAAGAACUAUUCAUUGGAAGAUGCCAAAGAAAUAGGUCGUCUGGAAUACUUAACCUUAUAAAAAAUAUGUACAAAUUGGUAUGUUUAGGAUGUCAAAUCAAGGAUAGGUAUGUAGGUUGUGCUGGGUGGGAAGGGACAAACAUGGUGCACUGGUUAUGGCAUGUCAUGUGUCAAUGUGACUGUCCCUACCAUGUCUACCUACUGUCACUGCCCUGUACCACCACAAUCAUGCUGGCUGAAGGUGAUGCAUCUGUGAAUGUUUGCUAAUUGGAGAAUUAUUUUAUGCAAGCUCAUAAGCUGCAAUUCAAUGGGAAAUAUCUCACACAAACAAUGUCUCUAAGCAUGAAGGGAGUUCCUGUGUUUGAAGGUGAACAUAGAAUACAUUUUUAUGUGUUAUGGUGUGGCUGCUCCAUCCCAAAUUUGUCCACUUCGAGUUUGAUAAUAAAUAAAUGGUCAACUUGACCGACAUUGCAUCAUUAUUGAAGAUAUGCUAUAUGAUGUCAUUUAAAAAUAUUGGGUUCUUUAUGUGUAUGCAACAUAGAUGUAACAAACAUUUAACGUAGUGCAAGUGAUGGUGAGUAGAGUUUAGAUGUCAUCGUUGUCAUUUUUCAGCUGGCAUGCAUUUAUUGCUAGAACUUGCAUACUAUUAAAAUUAAUUUGUCAAUUAAAAUUCAUUCUUACUGAGAAUUUGUGCAUUUAAGGCUUGUUUAGUGCUAUUUGUGUGCCGAAGCUAAGUUAUUUAUACUUGCUGAUAAAGCUUCAUGUUGUGACAGUAUAUGCUUGACAAUUGAUGAUAUUCAUUUGCUGUUUUGUUGUCUUCUCUCUUCUGUAAUAUACAUUGGUUCUGUUUUUCAUGCCUUACUGCCAUAAGUCUGCUGUUUGUUACUGCAUUCAGAGUAUAAUGCUUCAAGCAUCAAGUAUGAUAUUUGAUCAAUUGAACAUAAGCAUUCAUUUUUGUCCUUAUUGCUGAAUUGUAGCAUAAGUUUAGAUGACGUUGCACUGUCUUGAGAUGUUGGGAGAGAUUUAAGAUGGCCAUCAUUUAUCUUACCUUUGCUGGUUCUAGCUUUAGUUCUGAACUCCUGGAGUUUGGGACAUCAGUAUGUGAUUUGCACCAGUAAUGAGGUGUGGCAAGCUUGAUUCUGGAUGAAAAGGUUUCAUCUCUCUGCAGUGGGAGGAAAAAGAUACGUCAUGCUUACAGCAGUAUGCCAUUGCUUUUGAUGAGAAAGCGCUGCACCAGUUCAGGUGAGAGUGGAAGAUCAAGUCACUGCAAUCUUUGCAGGCUGAAAUAUAACCAUCCCUGCUACUGCAGAUGCAAUCACUGCAAGUCCAACCUCUGGUGGCUGGGAGCUACUUCUUUAUGAUAUGAACUUGAUCUGCUGCAGGGCACAGUAUUCCACUGCUGGAUAAAAAUUUCUCUCUGAGUUUCACAUUGCUAUAAACUUGCCUCAGUUAUUUAGCAUUGGAGCUUUAGCUUCUAUCUUCACUUGUGGCAGUGACCAACAUAUCAGGAUAAAUGGAUCCAAGUGACUGACAUGUGGUGUGCUUUUUCUUUCACUUGCCACCUCAUGAUAUACAUAUAUAUAUAUGUGAAUAACACAGUGGAACUGAGAUAUCAAUGCGCUUGUUGGUGAAGU